UACAGAGGUGGCAAGCGUUGUUCGGAAUUACUGGGCGUAAAGGGCGCGUAGGCGGCCUUCUAAGUCAGACGUGAAAUCCCCAGGCUUAACUUGGGAACUGCGUCUGAUACUGGGAGGCUUGAGUGCGGGAGAGGGAUGUGGAAUUCCAGGUGUAGCGGUGAAAUGCGUAGAUAUCUGGAGGAACACCGGUGGCGAAGGCGGCAUCCUGGACCGACACUGACGCUGAGGCGCGGAAAGCUAGGGGAGCAAACGGGG
rnacentral:rRNA from 1 species